UCCUCCCUCUUUCUUCGUGCUUAACACAUGCAAGUCGAACGGAAAGGCCCUGCUUUUGUGGGGUGCUCGAGUGGCGAACGGGUGAGUAACACGUGAGUAACAUGCCCUUGACUUUGGGAUAACUUCAGGAAACUGGGGCUAAUACCGGAUAGGAGCUCCUGCUGCAUGGUGGGGGUUGGAAAGUUUCGGCGGUUGGGGAUGGACUCGCGGCUUAUCAGCUUGUUGGUGAGGUAGUGGCUUACCAAGGCUUUGAAGGGUAGCCGGCCUGAGAGGGUGACCGGCCACAUUGGGACUGAGAUACGGCCCAGACGCCUACGGGAGGCAGCAGUGGGGAAUAUUGCACAAUGGGCGGAAGCCUGAGGCAGCAACGCCGCGUGCGGGAUGACGGCCUUCGGGUUGUAAACCGCUUUCGCCUGUGACGAAGCGUGAGUGACGGUAAUGGGUAAAGAAGCACCGGCUAACUACGUG
rnacentral:rRNA from 1 species